GUGGGGAAUCUUGCGCAAUGGGCGAAAGCCUGACGCAGCCAUGCCGCGUGGAUGAUGAAGGUCUUAGGAUUGUAAAAUCCUUUCACCGGUGAAGAUAAUGACUGUAGCCGGAGAAGAAGCCCCGGCUAACUUCGUGCCAGCAGCCGCGGUAAUACGAAGGGGGCUAGCGUUGCUCGGAUUUACUGGGCGUAAAGGGCGCGUAGGCGGACAUUUAAGUCAGGGGUGAAAGCCCGGGGCUCAACCUCGGAACUGCCUUUGAUACUGGGUGUCUUGAGUAUGAGAGAGGUGUGUGGAACUCCGAGUGUAGAGGUGAAAUUCGUAGAUAUUCGGAAGAACACCAGUGGCGAAGGCGACACACUGGCUCAUUACUGACGCUGAGGCGCGAAAGCGUGGGGAGCAAACAGGAUUAGAAACCCCGGUAGUCC
rnacentral:rRNA from 1 species